AACGAACGCUGGCGGCAGGCCUAACACAUGCAAGUCGAACGGACCCUUCGGGGUUAGUGGCGCACGGGUGCGUAACGCGUGGGAAUAUACCCUUAGGUGCGGAAUAACAUUUGGAAACGAUACUAAUACCGCAUAAUAUCUUCGGAUCAAAGAUUUAUCGCCUAAGGAUUAGCCCGCGUCUGAUUAGUUAGUUGGUGAGGUAAUGGCUCACCAAGCGAUGAUCAGUAGGGGGUCUGAGAGGAUGAUCCCCCACACUGGGACUGAGACAC
rnacentral:rRNA from 1 species